AGAUUUUAAUGAGACAUACUUUUGUAAUGAACAUCCAAGGGGAAGUGUUAUGAAUUUAUUAAAAUAAAUGUAGAUGUUCAUAACAUAUAUCUCUUAGUCUCUCCACUAUCUCCCAUUAGCAACUUUUAGCUUCCCUAUAACUCCUACUAUCUCACAAGGAAUUAUAAUCCAUAAUUUUUCAUAAAUUUCAUGGAGUGAUUAUGUAACUAUAAAAGGAGAGCUCAUCUUUUUGUUUUGUACACACACAAUUGGAAUGAAUCAAAUCACUCUAUAAUAUAUUCUUUCAUUUUAUUCUUUAUCUUGCGUUACUUCUUUAUUUGUAUUGCUGACUAAUAGCUUUUUUGUUUUUUAUAAGGCUGCCUCAUCUUAAAACAAAUCAAUUCAUAUUUUUUAUCAGUUUCAUCAAGUGUAAAGUAAAAAAAAAUGAUAAUACUAAAUUCUUUUUUCAAAGCCACGUGAAGCGCGGUUCUAUUUUCUAGUGUUAAAAUAAUUGGGAGCUAAAAUAAACCCUUUAAAAAAUGUAAAAACAUAACAAAAAAAAAAGACAUUUUCUGAGAGCAUAGCCUCCCAAUGGAAGUUUGCCAUGCAUGAAAUCAUGUAAGGUGAACGACCUCGCUCAAUUGAACAUCUCCUCCCACAAUAAAUCCAUUAAGCAAACCCAGUAUCGGGUUGUGCAUAUCGCAUAACAUUAGGCCUACCAAUGGGUCGUGUUUAAGUAGUUUCGUGUAGUGUUCUUAUCUUGUCAUGUUAAAUUACGUAUAUUUAAACCCACCCAUUAAUUUAUUGGAUCAAAAAAUGAGAACUCAAACCUAUUUGUUAUCGUUAUCAUGUUAUUCAAAUCGACCGAUUCAACCUAUAAGUUUUGGUAUUGUAUCUUCAAUUUAAAACAAAAAUAUCAAUUUGUAAACCAAAGCUCUUUACGAAUAUGAUACCAAACAAAGAAAAUAUCAAUAGUCUUUUUUUUUAACAUCAUCAAAUCAUGUAUAAAAAAUCAACUAUUCAAUUAUAUGCACUAUAUCGUUGAUUAAAAUCUUAUGAGGGAAAGAAAAAUUAUAGAAAGAAAAUUACGUUACAUGAGAAUAUGCAAAUAUACAAUGGUAGCUAUAAUUUUUACAAUAAAUACUUUUGAAUUUUAGGUUUAUCG
rnacentral:lncRNA from 1 species